AGGCAUCAUCUGGAUGUGACACUGCUAGGCAGGGAGGUUGGAUUAGAUGACUUCCAGAGACCCCUUCUCACCUUCACCACUCUGUGAUUCUGUGAUCUGCCAGUAAGUUACUCUUUUUAGUUCCUACUGUGCCCGGACAUUUUUCUAAGGCAGAAACUGGCAAUGGUGGCUUUCUUUUCCAGGAACUGGCUUGCAAUCUUUUUGCAGCUGUGGUGAGUUUCUUCCACUCUGCUCCCCCCAAAAGAUGAUGGGGGGGAAUUAUUAAGAAGAUUUUCUCUCUAAAGAAGAAAAGCCACUUGCAUCACUUCAGGCUGAGAAGACUUCAGCAGAGACCAAAUCACUGUGAAGAGCAAAAUUCAGAAAAUUUGGGUGAAAUCACUCUGUUGUCAAAACUUCACUAUGAUCUCACUAACAAGCUGGAUAUCAGUCCCAACAACAUUUCUUCUUCUCUUACAUUUUUGGAGAGCAAAGGUCUAUGCUUCUGAAAACUCAGAGGAUGAAAUAGAUUUCACAUAUCUUAUUAUAGGAGUUACUCUGGGAGCCUUUCUAGCAAUUGGUUUUAUAGCAGUCAUAAUUUGCAUGAUCAAAAAACAAAUGCUUGACAAUGUAUUUGGAGAGUCAGAUGGCAAAAUGGAUAGAAGGUCAAAUAUGGGAUCCAGUCAGAACAGAGAUGACAUCAAUGUACUAGGAAAACCAAGUACAAAUAAUCAAUAAUCCUUUUGCAAUUGACAGCUGCAUGGUCUGAGGCUCAAUAGAAGUCUCUUGUGGAUGAGCAGGAAUCUCACACCA
rnacentral:lncRNA from 1 species